ensembl:lncRNA
GGGCCUUGUUCACCGAAACUUGGUCUCCGCAUGUCUCUCUCUCCCCCAAAUUCUGGCUGAGUCUCCAUCUGGAGCGUGGAACCCGCCAUGCUUACUAAUUAUGCCUGGGCUUCUAAGAUCCGACCGGGGAGGCCUCAGUGUCUCCUCUCCUUCGGGAGAACGGAAGGACGCCUGCGGCCUACCUGCUGCUGCUGCUGCUGCUGCUAAGUCGCUUCAGUCGUGUCCGACUCUGUGAGACCCCAUGAAUUGCAGCGUGCCAGGCCUCCCUGUCCAUCAUAAGGAAAGAAAAUUGAAGUGACAUUGUCAUGCAUCAUAGGAUGGAAAUCAAUGGUUUUAUUCGCUGGAAAAUCCAGGGUUCUAAGAAUUUGCUGUUCUUCCCAAGCCCACAAACUUUCAAAAGUUCUGUUGUAGCGAUUUUGAGAACAGAGAGAGGUUCAAGGUCAAAACUGCCCCUAGCAG